GAAGCAAACGAGGGGAACUGAAACAUCUAAGUACCCGGAGGAAAGGAAAUCAACAGAUACUCCCCUAGUAGCGGCGAGCGAACGGGGACCAGCCGAGCCAUGAAUGUGAUUAGAAUGUGUUGGAAAGCACAACCAGAGUGGGUGACAGUCCCGUAUAAGAAGCAUGAUUGGACGUAUUAAGUAGGGCGGAACACGUGAAAUUCUGUCUGAACAUCGGAGGACCACCUUCGAAGGCUAAGUACUCCUUACUGACCGAUAGCGAACCAGUACCGUGAGGGAAAGGU
rnacentral:rRNA from 1 species